GAGGCUCAGGGGUAGAGCAUCACUUGGCAUGCAGAAGGUCCCGGAUUCAAUCCCCGGCCUAUCCA
rnacentral:tRNA from 1 species